rnacentral:rRNA from 1 species
GAUGAACGCUGGCGGCGUGCCUAAUACAUGCAAGUCGAGCGAACAGACGAGGAGCUUGCUCCUCUGACGUUAGCGGCGGACGUGUGAGUAACACGUGGAUAACCUACCUAUAAGACUGGGAUAACUUCGGGAAACCGGAGCUAAUACCGGAUAAUAUAUUGAACCGCAUGGUUCAAUAGUUAAAGACGGUUUUGCUGUCACUUAUAGAUGGAUCCGCGCCGCAUUAGCUAGUUGGUAAGGUAACGGCUUACCAAGGCAACGAUGCGUAGCCGACCUGAGAGGGUGAUCGGCCACACUGGCACUGAGACACGGUCCAGACUCCUACGGGAGGCAGCAGUAGGGAAUCUUCCGCAAUGGGCGAAAGCCUGACGGAGCAACGCCGCGUGAGUGAUGAAGGUCUUCGGAUCGUAAAACUCUGUUAUUAGGGAAGAACAAAUGUGUAAGUAACUAUGCACGUCUUGACGGUACCUAAUCAGAAAGCCACGGCUAACUACGUG